GCUUUUGUGCAGAGGCAGUAUCAUAGCCAGUGACGUUUAGCCAAGGCACAAUUAUUGCUGAUUAAAAUCACUCCCUGAAAGCCAAACAAUUAGGGUUCUUUUUAAUUUGUCACUAUUAUAAUAG
rnacentral:snRNA from 1 species